CGUCGCCGGUUCCCAUAGUGACUGCGGAUCCUCGCUUCCCCAGGGGCUCGCAGCUUGCGGCUCCCAGGCCCCAGGGGUCCCGCGCGCCGGGGAUGGAGCUGAAGGUAUCAUAUGUUGAUUUCCUACUUUGAAAGGAUUUGUAUAAAAGGAGGACCUUGGAAAAAUCGAUACUUCCUGUGAACGAGAGAGACCAUCUGAGCAGUGCCCCAAACAGGAUUAGGCAGCCCAAAGAAGCAAUUUGCUUGGAUCUUUUUCCAUCUUUUUUUCUUGCAAUUGAUACCACUCUUCAGUUUUUUCAUCUUGCUCCUCGUCUUCGUCAGAAUUCCCUACCCAGAGACUUUGGGUACCAGUGGGA